rnacentral:tRNA from 2 species
GCCCGAGUAGCUCAAUCUGGAUAGAGCGGCAGCGUCCUAAGCUGAAGGUUGUAGGUUCAAAUCCUAUCUCGGGCG